rnacentral:tRNA from 1 species
UGCCCGGUAGCUCAGUGGUAGAGCAGGUGACUGUUAAUCACUUGGUCGCAGGUUCGAGCCCUGCCCGGGCAGCCA